CCACUCCCUCGCGUGCCCUGUCUCUCAAAAAUAAAUAAAUACGAAAGAACAGAUCUACUCUGACACCUUUCAAAUACACGACUGCAGUAUUUUCCACCGCAGUUGCCAAGUGGCCCUGCUGUACCUGCAGCCCCACGGCUUAUGUUAUAACUGGAACUUUGUGCCUUUGGACUUUCUUACCCGUUUGCCCACCCACCAGCCCCCACUCCUGGCAGCCCCCAGCCUGGUCUCUGCGUCUGAGUUUGCUUUGUUUGUGUAGAUUCCACAAAUUUGCAAAUCAGCCACUGGUACGUGAGGUUUGAAGGAAGAAAGUGUCCAACACCCAAACCCGGAAGUGAUGCCAAACAAAAAUGGUGCCACGCCUUGAAGGGAGAGGUCUGGGGCCAUCCCUGUAAGCUGUGGCCCCCUGGGCCCGAGAUCAUUUCCCUCCCCUGCGUUUCUCCCGCCGGUCAACGUGCACACUGGCCAAGAAGUAAGCAAGACCGCAGGCCUUCCAGAAAACAAGACAAUUUAUUGUACCGAUCCUCGUGUAGUAUUGCACGGUAAUAUCAGACACUUCACCGAGUAGACACCGAAAUGGUCAUAAUUCACCUUUCCGUUUUAAGAAAAGAAGGAUCUGGUGAUUCAGUGCUUUCUCCUCCUUUACCGAAACAUGCGUGGGUGCCACGAACCCACCAACUGCAAACAACGGCUCCUAUCUCCUACUGCUGCCCGUGUCCCUGUGGUUACUUUCUGGAAAGGAACGGGUGUGUGAGGAGUACUAAGUCGGUUUCUUCCUUUGGGAUUUUAUAAAUUAGAAGUUCAGCCACACAGCCCUCAGAGUGGGAAGUACAAGGACCAAGGUGGGACAGAAAUAAGUUUUGGCAACAUCCACGGGUCACUCAUUUAACAAUACCGCUGCGUCCCCACCACGUCCCAAGCGCUGUGCUUGCCUGGGGCCACACGGCCCUUCCUUGCACAGACCUUAGAGUCUGACGGGGGAACGCACAGACUGGACACGUCGGAAGAGGUCGUAGAAAGUGCAUUAGAACGCGUCUUUGUGAAACAACAAAGAAAUCGUUAACGAUCAUAAUCUCAUUCUCUCAGUAUGUAAAACACAACACAUACCCAGAUUUUAUGACAUUUACUGACAUGAAAGGCUAGUAUCCAGGGUAAAUUCCACUUGUUUAACCGUCUUGGGGCGCCUGCGUGGCUCAGUCGGUGGAGCGUCCGACUUCGGCUCAGGUCAGGAUCUCGCAGUUCGUGAGUUCGAGCCCCGCAUCGGGCUCUGUGGUAACAAACAGCUCAGAGCCUGG